UACGUAGGGCGCAAGCGUUAUCCGGAAUUAUUGGGCGUAAAGAGCGUGUAGGCGGUUUGGUAGGUCCGUUGUGAAAACUACGAGGCUCAACCUCGAGACGCCGGCGGAAACCAUCAGGCUAGAGUCCGGAAGAGGAGAGUGGAAUUCCUGGUGUAGCGGUGAAAUGCGCAGAUAUCAGGAGGAACACCGGUGGCGAAGGCGGGUCUCUGGGCCGAUACUGACGCUGAGGAGCGAAAGCGUGGGGAGCGAACAGG
rnacentral:rRNA from 1 species